ensembl:lncRNA
GGCCAAACAAGUUUAGCAGCAGUGUCGAUCGUUCUGUGCCACAGUCCAACAGGACUGAGAUACCAAUGGUUAAACUAGCGAUAGAACAUACUGCUAUUGCUAAAUAGAAAUAACCAAGCACCUGCACUUUGGAGCAGGACUUGGGCUGGUCCUAGGACUUGGACUAGGAGAGGCUGGUGAAAGAAAGUUGUUUCUUCACUCAGCUGAUUCUGCUUACUGCUGAGGGUAACUUUACAGGUGAGCAAAGCUUGUGGGGUAGACAGAAAUGCCGAUCUAUUUUUGGGUUUGCUCCUUUGGGUACUACAUUUGAAUGCUUUGAUACUUUCCAGAACAAGCUUUGGGCCGGAAACACUUCAGCAACUUUUGUUUGACACACAAGCUCCAUGUGGGUCUCCUUGCACCAUGCUACUGCAAGCAGAAAUCCUGGGCAGAGUGGUGCAAAGAUGUCUGAGUGGCAGAAAGCAAAGCUAAAAUGGCUCUGCACUGAAAUUAACAAAUAGAAGAGCAGUUGGCUUCAAUACUUGAUGCUGACCUGAUGGUUUUAAGCUGCCAUUUAAAAAUAAGCAGAAGUGUAGUCAUUAAGGACAAAAUCUCUCCUUGGACAUAUGUAGAUGACUUAGCAAAAUCUGUGCUAACAGCUGAAACCCUAUUGCACUAUGAUUUUUUAAAACAGUUUAUCACACCCAUAAAGUCAACAUCUGCUUUGCUCUUCGAUGAAUGUACUCCAGGAGCUAUUUCAGACAAUUGUGGAGUUGCCUUGAGAGAUUGUUAUCUGGUAUUGUUUCUCUUGCAGUGAAGUAUGAUACUAUAGCAUGUGGAAAUCUACUGUUCAGUGUGUUUUCUGCCAGGAUUCAUCCCGCGUAAUGCUAGCUGCUUGGUCAGGCUGCCUGAAAUAGCAAAGUCUCACUCCUGGCUCCUGCUGUAGGUAUCUGAGCAGUCUUUGUUAUGUCCUUUUGUGCACCGCGACGUAUGACUGAUUCACUGCCAAGAUGCAUCCAUCCUUCAGACCCUGAACAAAGUCUCCCAGGCCAGUGACUGCUCCCAUGGGUAUCUGGGAGAUGUACCUGGACAAGGGUGGAGUCAAUCAGGGCCUUGCAGUUUCAGGUAGCCCCGUGCAACAAUGAGCAACAUUACAGCGGGAUGUAAUGGCCGUAAGUUUCUCUAGGGGAGGUUCAAGUUGGAUAUUAGGAAAAAUUUCUUCUCAGAAAGAGUGAUGAAGUAUUGGAAUGGGCUGCCCAGAGAGAUGGUGGAGUCACUGUUCCUGGAGGUGUUCAAGAAAAGGGUAAGUGUGGCACUGAGGGACAUGGUUUAGUGGGAAUGAUGGGGAUGGGUUGACUGUUGGACUAGAUGGUCUUAGUGGUAUUUCCAACCUUUACAAUCUAUGCUAGUGGCAGGUCUUACUUUGCUGUACUGCAGUCAUAUGGAAGAUGAGCAAGCUGUCUUCAUAUUGCUUGGGCUGUCAGGGUACAUCUACACAGCGGCUCAUCUUAUUUGUGAUGGACACUCUUCUGAAGAUAAGUAUCUUUGCCCUUUGAAGAUACUUGCCUCCCUUCACUGACCAAGAGGUUCGCGGGACAACUGAUUUGAACUACACAGCCAGUCUUUAGAUGACAAAUGGAAAGGUGAACGCACUCUCAAUGAGCAGAUAAACGUCCCUCUGGAAUGUUUCCUGAGACAUUACCACUGGUAGCUCUGGAUGAAGUCAUGCAUUUUAGGAAGGGAUCUGCAUGACAUAGCAGUCCAAAUGUAGCUGAGGAAGAUUGUCCUGUAUAGAAAAGAAAGCCCGAAUGCACUGUCCCUUCGGCUGUUUUGAUUUGUUUUGUUUUGUUUAGUUAAAGCAUCUGCCAGAAAAGACAAGUAAGUACAGAAAAGAACUUCUGUUUUUUUGGUGUACUUUUACAACCAUUCACUAGCCUAUUUUUUAAGUAUACCUGCAUGAAAAAGUGUAUUUCCACAGUAUGCUUCCUGCAGCACAUUCAUUUUUAUGUACCUUGUUGUUUGAUGGUUCAUUUCCCCUUGUCCUCCUAAAACAGUGUAACACACCUUUUAAAAUCAUCAUCAAAACUGAACUAAAAUCUGACUCUGGCUCAGACAAUUCCUAAUACUGUUUGUACUGAUGUAGUGUGUCACUUCAAGGCAAAAUCUUCUCCCCAUGUAAUAUUAUAUUGCUGAGAUACUUUCCCACAUAUGGCAGAUAACAAAGUGCUGAGAAGGCAUGAGACAGAAGAGAUCUAAUGGAAGGAAAUGCAGCAGAGUCCUCCUACAGAAAAUUACAGGCUUUUAAAUGUGACUUGCAGAGUAUUUUUUAAAUGUGUUUAUAUCCCAUUUGUGUUUCCUUGUGUUGCACAAAGAAAGCUUGAAACAUGCUAUUUUCUCAAAGCCAGUAACAAUUUCAAAAAGGAAGUGUCUUUUAAAGAGCAAAUGUCGUAUCUGCUGUGGACAACAGAACAGCUGUGAGAAACACAUACCCGGCUCAGAAACCCUUUGCCAACUGUUUGUGCUUCCAGCUCUCUCCUAACCACAACCAUUCAAGUAUAUGUUGUUCAGAGGGGGAGAGAGGCCCUGACAGUUAUGUAUAUAAAAUAGGCUAUAAUUUUGCAGCACAAUGAAGAGUGAAGAGAAAUAAUAUUUUUCACUAAGCAUCUCCUUGUUUUUCACAGGACUUAGCUCCAGGAAAGACCAUUAGUUAACUUCAUAUCCAAGCCUAUACCUUUGUAUAUCCUUUUAGAAACCAGGGAAAAACAAAGUGUGGGGAUGAAGGAAGACACAGAGACAGUUUUAAGUGACAAAUAGUGGGGUGGAACAGAAGGAGGCAGUGACAUGCAAUCCCCUUCUGGGACUUGCAAAGGAUUGCAGAUACGCGGUGGUCACACCUGCCAGCUCACCCAUGUGUCCUGGGGCUUGUUAAUGAGCCCUUUGCUAGAGAUGUAGCUCUCAUUCUGUCAAGAGCUGGAAAGCUUCAAUCCAUUUUCUUCAGUAGUGCGGCUCUCAGUCAUGAGUCACAUCACUCUAAGAAUAAAACUACAUCCAAGUUAACCCCUCCAUCACCUCCUAUGUCUUUUCAGAACCUUCACCAAGGAGGUUUUGGUUUACUGGAUCUUGAACAGCCAAAAUAUCAGAGGAUUAUUACUGCUUGGAGUUCACUUUAUUGUUGAGAUUGCCAUGUCAUCUUCUGAUCCGAGAAGCGGCGAACAUCACAAAAGCUGAAAAUGAAGUCUUUUCUGCUCUGUGGGGCACCUAUCCAAAAUGACUUGGCCUCCGGAGAUAAGCAAUAAGUAACGGAUACACUGAUUUAUUUUUCUUCGGUACUGAAACUAAGAACUGACAAUUCAAAUGCAGAGGUUAGAGGCUUGAUUCUUUAUCAUAUCAGUUUUGCACUGGAAUAACUGAUACGGUGAGGUAAAGAGGCAGGCCUGGUAUAUACCUGCCUUGUGUCAGAACUGCUUUAGCCAUUUCUGGUGAAAGAGUUUCCAAAGAGUCCCUGUAGAGUUGAGAUAAAACAGUAAUUAUUUAAUGCUGAAGGUUAUGAUAAUGUUAGAGAUUAAUGUCAGAGCUUAGGCUUUAAAUUAUUGCAUGUUAGGAUGACAAGGGUGUUUUUAGAAGUUUUUUUCUCGUUGGUACUCUGUACAGCAUCCCACUGAAACUGUUUUCAUCCACACUGUCUUCCCAUCCUGGUCUGUCCUGCAGCUGAGCGCACAGCAAGCCUCACUCAUCGUUUGGCAUAGGAUCCUGAUCACCUUCAGUGCAUACACUGCACACCUCUAGAUCAUAGAAUCAUAGAAUCAAAGAAUCCUUGGAGUUGGAAGGGACCUCUGAAGGCCAUCUAGUCAUCAACUCCCCUGCAAUGAACAGGGACAUCCACAGCUAGAUCACGUUGCCUAGGGCUUGAUCCAGUCUCUCUUUGAAAGUCUCCAUGGAUGGGGCAUCAACCACAUCUCUGGGCAACCUGUUCCAAUGCCUCACCACCCUCACUGUAAAAGACUUUUUCCUUAUAUCCAACUUAAAUCUACCCUCUUUGACCUUGAAACCAUUUCCUCUUGCUCCGUCACCACAGGCACUGCUUAAGAGUCUGCCACCUUCUUUCCCAUAGCCCCCCUUUAGAUACUAGAAGGCCACUAUCAGGUCACCUUGUAGCUUCUCUUCUCCAUGUUGAACAGUCCCAGUUCUCUCCACCUGUCCUCGUAGGAGAGGUGUUCCAUUCCAUGGAUCAUUUCUGUGAUCUUCCCUGGGAGCACUCCAACAGGUCUAUGUCUCUCCUGUACUGAGGACUCCACAUCUGGAUGCAAGAUAUGAAGAUCUUUCUUCUCCUCAGGAAUAAGUCUCUCCCUCCUUGGAGAUCACCAAAAACUGCCUGAAUGUGGUCCUGGGCACCCUGUUCUGGGCCCUUGCCUACCAACAUCCACCAUUCCACGAAUAAAGGGCCUUGGUUGUAGCUCUGUGAUGACAGUACUGAAAUGCGUCCAUCCCCUGUGAUAAACAGCAGAUUCAUGAACUUUGGGAUUUCCAACUUGGCCACUGAAUAGGUUUUCUGUGUGUGGUAUUGAGUGUCAGCUAGGGGUGGGGUAUAGAAAAGUCACACCAAUAGUCUACCAAACCGUCUCUAUGCACAGCCUUGAUGGAGAAUGUUUUGUGUCAUGUCACUUCAGCUAUACUGGAAGAAACAAUUUUUUUUUACAUUUGCUGUGCUUCUACUAGAAGCCUCUGUUAGCAUAACUAAUGACAAAACCAUUUCAGUGGUGAUGGGCAGCAAAACAACGUACUGCGGGACAAGUGGUUCUAAAUUUAUCCAAUAAUCAAAAACAUCAAAAUCACUAGAUACCAAUACCUAUACAUUAUCCGCUAUCCUGUUAUUUUGUCCAGUCCUGCACUGCUCUACUCAGUCCUUCCUCCAGGGCUGUUAGGGUUGCUGCAGUGCCUCUGCCUUCCAGGUUACCCACCUUCCAGGUUACAGGUGGGAUGCAAUUGAAGGGAUCCUCUACCUCUCCAUUUUCCUCUUCCCUCUUCCCUCUCCCACUGAGACUUUAGGAUCCUAAGACUGAAAAUUAUAUUCGUACACCCCACAAAAAGGAUGCGGUUAGAAAUUAGUAUUUUUUAAAAGUACGAAGCUAGACAUAAAUAGAAUUCCAGCAAUUUUAAAAUAAAUGAAAUGUAAAUCCCUAAAUGCCAUUUGUUCUCUCUGGAUGUAUUUCUUUGCGUUUGUAAAAAGAUCAUGUACACGGUUUUGUCAUUUAACUGCUAGUUAAAUGUGCCAGAAAAAGAAAGCUGAAGAAUUAAAUUUCAUUAUAAUUAACAGAACAAAUAUAAUUAGAAUUUUAGUAGUGCAAGUUGCCAUGCUCCUUCAGGUGUCCUGGUAGUAUUUUGAGUUAGAUAACUUUUCAACUCUUCGUUUCUUAGCUGCUGAGGAGCUGCUCCCACACACCGCGGAUGUGUCCAAACACGCUGUCUUUGCCAUGCAAGAAUGAAUUCACAAGGACUUGUAAUUGUAUCAGAACUGAUUUUAUGCCAAACAGCCAACCAUUAUUAAUGACUUCGAGUCAUUACAGUCCAACAUGGAUAUGUCCUGGAUUUCUGGUGCCUGGGAUAUUUUCCAGCUCAAAUUAAUGGUUUCUGAGUGAUGCGAAAAACUGAAGGUUUGUGAGUUGCUGUAUGCAAUCCAUGUUCUUUUCUAUACACUUCUGAUUCAUCUCCGAUGCUGUGUCUUUUCAUCUUUCUCAGUGAUACAUGCUUUUGAUUUUCGAGUAUCUUGGGCCAAAACUCAUCAGUCAGAUUUUAUCAUCCUCUUAUACUCCCUUUAACUCUUCCCAUAGUGAAGAUUUCAAAAGCAAUCUAGAAAUUCUCUCAAUAUCUACAUGAGAGCCAGGAGUAGGAAAUUUAUAUCUUUCUGUAUUUCUCCUCAGGACGGAGUAGAGUAGACAAACGUUUCCUGGAAAGGGAUUCUUUUUGACCAGAAAUUUGAGUAAAUUUCUCAUCUCUUACAAGAUACGAGUGGAUUUGAGUUGUAAGAAAGUCACAUUAUUUGUCAUCAGAUCUACUGGUGUAUAGAUUUGAGUAGACUCUCUAAAUGUUUCUUCAACCCACUGUAGGCUGUCUCCGUAUUUAAACCACAAAGGGUGUAUAAUCUUUGAAAAAAGGUUGAAAGCAUCUUCCUACUGUGACAUUUUUAUGUAGAAAGCUGACUGCUGUGGGGCUGAGUCUGUGUUGGAAAAAAGUCAUUUUCAAAGAAGAUAAAAUUCAGACUUUUACUUUCAGUGAUUUGAAUGGUGAACUCUUUGAAAUUAUGUUUCUUGUUUCUCAUCUUUAACAAGACUGACCAGCAAAUGGUUCUGUAAACAAAUGAUUGCCCUAUUAAAUGAAAUUUAUUAUGCUAAGGCAUACAACGGUGAGUGAACUUUUUUACUUUUUUUUUAAUCCUCAUUAUUAUUUAUUAUUUGGUAUUUUUCUACAAAAGGAGGAGAGAACAAUAUAUUCAGAAAGCACUUUUCAUACUUUUUUGUCUUGCUCACCUGCAGGAAUGUUGGCUGUAAUACACAGGCAGGCCCAGAGGAGGGCUGUGAAGAUGACCAGAGGGCUGAAGCACCUCUCCUAUGAAGGAUGGCUGAGGGAGCUGGGCUCCUUUAGCUUGGAGAAAAGAAGGCUCCAGGGAGACAUCACUGCUGCCUUCCAGUACAUGAAGGGAGCUUACAAGCAGGAGGGGGACUGACUUUUUAUGUGGUCUGAUAGUGAUAGAACAAGAAGGAAUGGUUUUAAACUAAAAGAGGGGAAAUUUAGGUCGUAUCUUAGAAAGAAAUUCUUUACUCAGAGGGCAGUGAGGCACUGGCACAGCUGCCCAGAGAAGCUGUGGGUGCCCCAUCCCUGAAGGUGUUCAAGGCCAGGUUGGAUGGGGCCCUGGGCAGCCUGAUCCAGUUGGUGGCAGCCCUGCCCAGGGCAGGGAUUGGAAGUAGGUGUACUUUUAUGCCCCCUCCAACCUAAGCCAUUCUACGAUUCGAUGAUACAAGAGUGUAUGGGAACAAUUAGGUCACAGCCUGAACUGAUGAUUGAGCAGCUGGUGAAGGAGCAUAGACAGACCUGGGAGCACAGGUGCAAGCAAUUCACCUGAGUGACCGAAAGUGGUGGACUCUGGGUCCCCACCUCCCUAAUCUCACUUAAGUGCUGGCAGCCAAAGGAGAAGCAUCUCUACUUCGACAUUACUUCUUUUGGGAGUUUUCCCUGCAAACCCUUAUCCUUGGAAAAGGGUAAACUGUUCCUUUUUUGUUACUGAAUUAUGAUCAAUACCUUUCUUGGAUGACCUGAAAAUUGUUUAAUGGCAGCUAUAUCCUCUACCUUAUACAAUACAAAGGGUAUAUUUUUUUCUUGUUUAUAGGAAGAGUGCUCUGCCUGGGCUCCUUUACCGUGGCUAUUUAAUGGCUGAAAAACUGAAAAAAGAACUAUGUUUUCUUCACAAGCUGCGACCUUCCUAAAGUAAUCAUCUAGCACAAGUUUGCCUCCUGGACUAUUCCAGAAAUUGAUCUUCCAGUAACUGAGAGAACUCAAAAAUACCCAAUGCUGAUGUGGCUUCAGUAGUCAUUGUGGUCUCUUCCUCAGAAGAAAGUCUGAAAAUAGGGGUCCCCACAGGGUUUUGUUCUGUAGUUUACAGAGGCUAUAAAUAUAUUAAUCAACCCUAAUGAUUCUCCAGAAUAUAUUCACUUCAAUACUAAUGGCUAGAUUGCCCCAUAAUGAAGAGAGAUUUUAUGAUAUUUUUGUCUAGUUCUAUUGCACUUUUAGUGGCUGGAGAGAUUCCAUUUAAGUUAAUCUCGUGUCUCUCCUUCAGGAAGCAAGGUCAUGUCCAGUAUCAGUUAAAUAUAUGGCACUACGCCUAUCAAGACUUUUGGAUCUUGCAGUUCCAGGGGCAGAUUUCAACACACGCAGUCCUUUACUAAUAUUAAAUAGCAAAAUUGCCUUAAGGAUCAUUAAAACCGUUGUGAUUUUUUUGUGCAUCUGCUGUUUGUCUCUCAGUGGAAUCUGACCUCUCCUUGCUUUGUGUGCCUUGAAGGGUAAGACUUCUUUGAUGUUCUCUCUCUGUAUUCACUCUUCAGUGCAGUCCCUACUGCUCCUGGAACAGCUGUUCCUCUGCUGCUCAAUCUCAGUUCUUUGGCUUCUUUCACCCUGUCUGUAAACAUGGCUGUAUGUUCCAAAUAAGCUUUCCAACACUCAUUCUCUGCUAGCAUUUAUCAGACCUUAUUAGUUAGUGUUAGUAUUUCCAAGUCCAGUUUGCCAAUGGUCUUUCCUAGCCAAGUGGGCUUCUUUCUAUUCACAUCCUCCUUAAAGCUGCUUUAGGACCACUGGCACUUCACAUCUCCACCGUAUCCUUCAGUGAGCCUGCAUUCCUGCUUUCUGCUUUUACCUCCUGAACCUCCUUGUUCCCUUCAGCACCUCCUCUGGCAGAUCCUCCCACUCCCUCUCCACUGUCUGUUGGCACCCUUCAGAUUUUCACCCUCGGUCCUCCUCCCUUCAUCUUUGUAGUACCUAUUUUGGCUAACUCGUCCUCCCCAUCAGUUUCUGUUACUUAUAACUCUUUUCCUCCUGUUGUGAAUUUGUUGCUUCUUUGAUAUUGCACUGCCAUCCUAAACUCUCUUUUGAUGGGGCUUUCUUAGCUAUCUCAAGUACGCUCUUUUCUCCCGCUUUAAGUUAUUGUACCAUCUUCUUGUCUUGCAGCUCUAAUGUCAGUGUUGAUUUCUCAUUCUCUCCUUAUGUCUCUAUCUACACAGUUAUUAAAUCAGAUUUUAUUCCAUAUGACAUUAGCUAGUCUAUCCGUGGCAGUUUGUCUUCAUUGCUUCAGUACUUGUCCAUUUUUGCUCUCAUUUCCAAGCAUCUUUUUGCUAUUUUCUAAAACAAAUUAGCUAUGCAUAUGUUCACUCUUUUCUAACCAUAUCUCCCUUUAAUCCAAAUCAUUUCACCUGCUUCCUCAGUCUUACUACAUAAUCCCUUUUAAUGCUUUGGAUAACCUCUCUCCCCGAACCUCUUUGAAUUUACCUACAACCUUUUUUUUUUUUUUUUUUUUCCCUGCCAAGGUCCUCAUUUCAUUGUCAUUUUUUUACAGGCUUCCUGCAGUCUAGAGAGGAGGUUGGUGCAGUAUCCUCCUGCAGACAAAGUCCCCGCUGCGUUCUUAAAGACAGUGAUGUAGCACCUUUGGUGGGCGUCUGCUGACAGCCUCAGAGGAUGGAGUUGAGGUCACUGCCCCAGUACAUGCACUGUGCGGACCUCCCGAUGUUGUCUUACCUCUCUUUGAAUGGCAAAUACUGCCACCGGGGGACAAUGCGGCGGUUAUCGGGUUUGUUGCUGCAUUUGCCAACCAGAUUCAUUUGUGACGAUGAGUUUUGUGAUAUGGACACAAGUAUACUUUAAGCUAGAUGAAGUGAGUCCAAUGGUUUCAGUGCCUUGUAGUACAUCAAGUAACCAGCAGAUGGUAAUUUUCAUUAAUGAUUAGGCUGUGCUGGAAUUUAAUUGGGCACCUUCAGCGGAAGAGCUCUGUUACAUGCAAUCUCUAGUUGUGUGCUUUCUCCAUCCUUGUUUGCAUUAAUUUUGCUGUAAUUUCAGAUGUUUCUAAGAUCUUAUUUGGUAAGUACAUGGGACUGUAUUUUACGGUCCCAUAGGAAGAUGGUGUACUACAGCUGGGUUGUUCAUAUAUUUUCAUAAUUUGCUAUAUAAAACCAUAGUGAAUGAAAAAUAGAACUCAGUAGCGCAAUAUUAGCAGAAGGCCUCCCACUCCCGUAAGAAAUGAAGUACUUAUCUCACCUUGUAGAGAAAACAUCUUUUAUUUUGCUGGAUUUACCUUGAAGCCAUAGAAGUCUGUUUCCUGUUCUGUGCCUGGUACCACCCAGCAGGAUUACAGCCUAGCAAAAAUCCAUGACAGUAAAAAAAAAAAAAAAUACAGCAAUUGAAAUUUACUGGAGAGCAGACAAUAGAAGCUGUUAAUGUGCAAGUGUGAAAAGUUCACCCAAUUUUUUAAAUUUAUCAAAUGCACAGAUGUUAAUUACUGUUUUAAACGCCCGAAGCCUGCAAGUUUUAAGUGCACAAAGGAAACUGUAGUAACCUGUUAGACACUUGUCCUUUGCUUGGACUUUUCUUUGGCACCCAGAUAAGAGAGGGCUUAAUAGAAAGGCUGACAGCACAAGUGCAUUUCUGAUGCAAAGCACCAGAGCUGGGAUGAACAGUCGGACCUUUACGAGAAGAAUGGGGCUUCUUUGUUGUGGAAAUGAAGCUGUGAUAAUGUUCCCAGACUAUAAACUGGCCGUCUGGAAUGGCAAAAACCAUAGGAGCUUUUUCAAAUUCUUUAUCAAUGUCAGCAGAUUUAUUUAUUUUUUCUUCCUGUUGGGGUUUUAGUGAAGAAAAAUGUGAAAAUUUAUGUGAGCAGUUUGAUACUGUAUGUAGCUCUUAGCAACAAGGCUGGAGAGCAGAAAGGCAAACAUUUUAUUGUCCAUUCACCAGCAGAUUAAUACUGUUAAUGAGAGAAAAUCCUGUGGACUGAGGUGUUCUGUUUCCAGAAAUUAGAAUAUUUCAAAAUGAAGCAGUCUCUGCAAAAAGAGAUCUGUGAGCAAGUAUUUCAUAAACGCCUGACUACACACUUAAUCUGUUUUACUCACAGAGCGAAAGGGGCAGAACAACCUGUAGCACUGUCUGUCUCAGGAUCUUGCAGGAGGUGCACUCUCAGAGUCACCGGCUUGCCAGAACUCUCCUGGAUUUACACACAGAAAUGCGGAGACAGAGAAAUGAAAACGAACUGUCAGCUGCUUCUGAAUCCAGAGCGCUGAAUGUUGCCGUGAGCCCAAAAUAACAAACUGUGUUUCAAGGCACAGACCCUGAAGACGAAGCACGCAUUCCUGAAAUGGUUCUGACAGCGGCGUUACGGAUAAGCUGCACGAGCUUCUUGAUCCGAUCCGGGGCUGCAGCUGCCGAUACGCACAGGGUGACCUUCCUGUUUCCGAAUGCUAUUAAGUCCUAAUGGCAGGAGACCUCUGCAUCCUGAGGGAAGGAUUUAAACCACCGAAACUGCGCCGGCUGGCAGAACAGAAUUUACCAGCCCUUGGAGGAAGGCUAGAUGGAAUCUGAACAACCUCUGGGUCAGCCUGUGGCAGCAGAGGAUCCCUCCUCCCAUGGAAGAGGUGUUCGUACCGCUCAGGUGCCGCAGUGCUGCGCCGGCAGUCCCACCACAGCCCCCAGCAGAGGCACCUGGCAGGGCUGCCUCCAGCCCAGCUCAACAACACGAGCUGAACGAGCCCAAGUGCUUUCUGAAAGCACAGCUGUGCCCAGAUCGGGGCAGUUCCUGGCAUCACUAGGUGCGAUUUUUCCAUGCUCAUAGCCAGCAUAGUUACGCCUCUGAAACUUUGUAGUAGAGACCUGGCUGGAAUCCUUCAGAUCCUCGCUCUCAGCCUUGGCAAAGCAAGCCCUCUAACUCUGUUGGAGCCAAGGCAGCUCAGCUCUUCCCAUUUAACAGUCCAGACCUUGUUCUUUCAGUGACCAGAAAAGUUGUUCCUGCGGGAAUGGCUUAUCUCUCUGUUCACUGCUUCAUAUCCUGCCUAAAACACUACUAUGGGAUGUAUGGCUGCUCUACUGGAUGCCAAUAUCCAUCCUGUGCUUUUGGAAAGGCAAUUCAAAUUCUGUGCACAGGCUUCUGGCAUGCUGAAAGCUUUUGGUUGCCUGUGUCCAAAGGGCUUACUUGUACAUGUGUGCAGUGCUGGGUUAGCUGGCAGAAAAUAUCACAUUUCCAAACCCUCUGCAAGGAAUCAGUGCUGAAGUUCUGCCUCCCUGAUCUUGUAUUGAUGUUUCCUUUGCUAAUGGCAUGUUAGAACACAAGUUUUAUUUACCCAGGAUAAUAUUUCAUUUUGUCCAUGUGCUGAGGUGAUAAAGUACUUAAAUACAUUGGAUGAUCUUUUCCUAAUGCCAUUUGGUGUGUUUAUGUUGUGUUGCCAUUUUUUAGAGAUAAAAAGAGGCUGAAAGAGCACCAGAGCAUGGAAGAGAUACUUAUGAGUGUUGGGCCAUCAUCAGAGGAAAAAAGAGAGACAAAUAUGAAAAAGAAUGAGUGCUGUGUUUAGUACUUUCUUCUCAUCCUUCACACGGGCAUUUCUGGAAGAGUUCUGGUGUGAUACAGUGUGGUUAAGAUAAGCAGUGGCUGCAAAAGUGCAUAAAAAGUUAGAGAUGACCGACUGCGAUUUUUGCCCAGCCACCUCACAGUGGUGCUUCUCUUAGUGGUCCCUCAUUCAUUUGGACAAAGUAUCUUAGCACGAUAGGAUGUGAAACUUGGCCAUGAGGGGAGGUACACAGAUAAUUUGCUGGUUCUUUCAGCACUUGGAGAAGUUGAUUAUCAUCUGAGAAAGAUUCUCAAAUAUUGUUGAGUGCUGGUUCAAAUGCGACAUAUAAAUGAAGUGAGUUGGGGCUGUCUGCUGAUAUCCUCUAAAGCUACACAGCAGUGCUUCUACAAGAAGUAAGUGCCAGGCAAAGAAACCUGACUUACACAAGUGCAACGUUAUGGACGUGAAAACAAUCAAUGUCCAGAAUGAAAGGAGGCCAGAGAAAUAGUGGGACUCCCAUCACCCCUGUUCUAUUUUAAGGAAUGGUUGCUAGAUAAUGCCAUUCAUGGAGAGUGAAGAUGAAUGUUCUCCCAGUGAUACUUUACAAUAUUUUCAGUGGUAUAUUUGCUCAGCUUUGUAAAAUCCUGAUACAAGGGAACAAGUAAUAUGCAUCAAGUUUAUCGAAGCUCAUUAAUUUGAUGAAAUAUAUUGGAAGGAUUGAUUUAUUCACAAUAUUAAACAGCUACUUACGUGAAACUCUGCUUUCUGACUGGUAACGUGAGAACACACAUUGGUUGCUUGCUAUUUUGUUAAUACUUUCACAAAACCACAUCAGCCUCUUUGUUUUUCUGCUGUUUCUCACAGUUCAGCAGACAGCAACAUGCACUUAACAAAAAUAGAGAGGCUUAGAGACAUGUGCAAGAGACAGCUUCAGAAAAACUCUCAAGACAUGCUAAUCAUCUCUAAGAAGAAAAUAUGUUAUUGGCCUAGUAACCAAGGAACAGACAAAGCUUCCAGGAGAUAUGCAGACUUUAAAACAAUCUGCAGUAUAAUUCCACAUAAAUGGCACCAAAACAAUCUCCAAGGGAGUUGCUGCAUCAUUUUGUCACAGCUCAGCACAACACUUGGUCACUAAAUGAUGCAGCUCUUUGAUAUCUCAUUCCCAUUUUGGUUUGCUUAGGCAAAUCCAGAUGAUCUCUGCCCUGUGCAUCAGUGGAUGCUACAAUCAUUAUGGCUGUGCUCAGGCCCCCAUUCCACAGGAAGAACCACUGGAAUUGUUUACUAUGGAGAAAAGGAGGCUGAAGGGAGACCUUAUUGCUCUCUUCCAGUACCUGAAAGGUGAUUGCAGUGGGAGCAGGGCUGGUCUCUUCUCACUGGUGACAGGACGAGGGGAAAUGGCCCCAAGUUGCACCAGGGGAGGUUUAGGUUGGAUAUCAGGAAAAACUUCUCUACUGAAAGGGCUGUUAAGCACAGGAAUAGGCUCCCCAGGGAGGUGGUUGAGUCACCAUCCCUGAAUGUGUUUAAAAACCAUCUGGAUGUGGUGCUCAGAGAUAUGAUUUAGUGGAGGGUUGUUAGAGUUAGGGUAGCAUGAUUAGGCUGUGGUUGGACUUGAUGAUCUUUAAGGUCUUUUCCAACCUGAGCAAUUCUACGGUUCUAUGAUUCUAUGAUUCCUGCUCUGGUCUUGGCCAGCACAGAUCACUAACUCCAACCCCUGGCACCUGCACCAUCCCACCAUUCCUUCUGCAGAUGUGAAAUUCAGCAUGAGCAAAACUCACCCAGGUCUAGGUCAUAACAAGCCCUAGGUUAGAAAAACGUGGUGUUGUCAAUUUUAGUUGGUGUUUUGACUAAAUAUGCAAGGAUUAAUGGUACAAGUGGUUAUUCCAGCAUAUCUGAGAGGCCGUAUCCUCUGGAAAGGUGAACAAACAGCAUGACAGUGGCGGUGGGCUGCCUGGCAUGGGGUGGGUUCUUGUUCAAAUAGCGUCCUCCUCUCACCAAGCAAUAUCUGCCCGUGGUCUAAUAUUGAGUUAAACUGUUCUUACCUUAAAUAAAUGAAAGAUGUCUUAGUGCUUCAUUAUUGCAUAU